UACAGAGGUCCCAAGCGUUGUUCGGAUUCACUGGGCGUAAAGGGAGCGUAGGUGGUCUUAUAAGUCAGUGGUGAAAUCUUCUCGCUUAACGGGAAAACUGCCAUUGAUACUGUAGGACUUGAGUAUAGUUGCUGUGGGCGGAAUAUGACAUGUAGUGGUGAAAUACUUAGAGAUGUCAUAGAACACCGAUUGCGAAGGCAGCUCACAAAACUAUAACUGACACUGAGGCUCGAAAGUGCGGGGAUCAAACAGG
rnacentral:rRNA from 1 species